rnacentral:rRNA from 1 species
GAUGAACGCUGGCGGCGUGCUUAACACAUGCAAGUCGAACGAUGAAGCCCAGCCUGCUGGGCGGAUUAGUGGCGAACGGGUGAGUAACACGUGAGUAACCUGCCCUUGACUCUGGGAUAAGCCCGGGAAACUGGGUCUAAUACCGGAUAGGAGCGCCUGUCGCAUGACGGGUGCUGGAAAGAUUUUUCGGUCAUGGAUGGACUCGCGGCCUAUCAGCUUGUUGGUGAGGUAACGGCUCACCAAGGCGACGACGGGUAGCCGGCCUGAGAGGGUGACCGGCCACACUGGGACUGAGACACGGCCCAGACUCCUACGGGAGGCAGCAGUGGGGAAUAUUGCACAAUGGGCGGAAGCCUGAUGCAGCGACGCCGCGUGAGGGAUGACGGCCUUCGGGUUGUAAACCUCUUUUCAGUAGGGAAGAAAGCGAAAGUGGCGGUACCUG